UGAGGAAGCCAGGGACGAAAAUGAUUAGGGGGUCACUUCCUGUGUAAGUUUACCUUACGUUUAUGAGAGGGUACGAGAAGUGAUUCCCAAAAAACGGGCGGAAACCCCCUCUAGAUCACAAAAGUUUCCCCUAAGAGGAAAACGACGCCAAUAAUCCUGCAUACAAACUCUGUAUACUGAAGACUUUGACCGGACUGACAAUUGGUUAUGCAAAAGGUCAGCAGCUACCUGUAUAAAACCUGUGCACCAGGGUGGCUGGGUUUUAUCAGUCGUGUACUGUAUUACACACUCUGUUAGACUCUUGGGGAAGGUGACUCAGCAUGUUCAGUCCUUAGCAUCACCUAUUCCAUCCGC